rnacentral:rRNA from 1 species
UGCAGUCGAGCGGACAGAUGGGAGCUUGCUCCCUGAUGUUAGCGGCGGACGGGUGAGUAACACGUGGGUAACCUGCCUGUAAGACUGGGAUAACUCCGGGAAACCGGGGCUAAUACCGGAUGGUUGUUUGAACCGCAUGGUUCAAACAUAAAAGGUGGCUUCGGCUACCACUUACAGAUGGACCCGCGGCGCAUUAGCUAGUUGGUGAGGUAACGGCUCACCAAGGCAACGAUGCGUAGCCGACCUGAGAGGGUGAUCGGCCACACUGGGACUGAGACACGGCCCAGACUCCUACGGGAGGCAGCAGUAGGGAAUCUUCCGCAAUGGACGAAAGUCUGACGGAGCAACGCCGCGUGAGUGAUGAAGGUUUUCGGAUCGUAAAGCUCUGUUGUUAGGGAAGAACAAGUACCGUUCGAAUAGGGCGGUACCUUGACGGUACCUAACCAGAAAGCCACGGCUAACUACGUGCCAGCAGCCGCGGUAAUACGUAGGUGGCAAGCGUUGUCCGGAAUUAUUGGGCGUAAAGGGCUCGCAGGCGGUUUCUUAAGUCUGAUGUGAAAGCCCCCGGCUCAACCGGGGAGGGUCAUUGGAAACUGGGGAACUUGAGUGCAGAAGAGGAGAGUGGAAUUCCACGUGUAGCGGUGAAAUGCGUAGAGAUGUGGAGGAACACCAGUGGCGAAGGCGACUCUCUGGUCUGUAACUGACGCUGAGGAGCGAAAGCGUGGGGAGCGAACAGGAUUAGAUACCCUGGUAGUCCACGCCGUAAACGAUGAGUGCUAAGUGUUAGGGGGUUUCCGCCCCUUAGUGCUGCAGCUAACGCAUUAAGCACUCCGCCUGGGGAGUACGGUCGCAAGACUGAAACUCAAAGGAAUUGACGGGGGCCCGCACAAGCGGUGGAGCAUGUGGUUUAAUUCGAAGCAACGCGAAGAACCUUACCAGGUCUUGACAUCCUCUGACAAUCCUAGAGAUAGGACGUCCCCUUCGGGGGCAGAGUGACAGGUGGUGCAUGGUUGUCGUCAGCUCGUGUCGUGAGAUGUUGGGUUAAGUCCCGCAACGAGCGCAACCCUUGAUCUUAGUUGCCAGCAUUCAGUUGGGCACUCUAAGGUGACUGCCGGUGACAAACCGGAGGAAGGUGGGGAUGACGUCAAAUCAUCAUGCCCCUUAUGACCUGGGCUACACACGUGCUACAAUGGACAGAACAAAGGGCAGCGAAACCGCGAGGUUAAGCCAAUCCCACAAAUCUGUUCUCAGUUCGGAUCGCAGUCUGCAACUCGACUGCGUGAAGCUGGAAUCGCUAGUAAUCGCGGAUCAGCAUGCCGCGGUGAAUACGUUCCCGUGCCUUGUACACACCGCCCGUCACACCACGAGAGUUUGUAACACCCGAAGUCGGUGAGGUAACC